UUGCAGCAGUCCUUCAGUUUUUCAAAGCCCUAUGAAAGAACUUAUAAGUUUGGGCCUCCAGCUAGGCCUUUUGUGAUACCCUUAAAGCCAGGAACUUUUCAGUACCCCCUUGUGGAUGUCUUGAGAGAGAGAGAGA